rnacentral:rRNA from 1 species
CAGCCGCCGCGGUAAUACAGAGGGUGCGAGCGUUAAUCGGAUUUACUGGGCGUAAAGCGUGCGUAGGUGGUUGUUUAAGUCUGCUGUGAAAGCCCUGGGCUCAACCUGGGAAUUGCAGUGGAUACUGGGCGACUAGAGUAAGGUAGAGGAUAGUGGAAUUUCCGGUGUAGCAGUGAAAUGCGUAGAGAUCGGAAGGAACAUCUGUGGCGAAGGCGACUAUCUGGGCCAACACUGACACUGAGGCACGAAAGCGUGGGGAGCAAACAGGAUUAGAUACCCCAGUAGUCCCUGUCUCUUAUAC